rnacentral:rRNA from 1 species
UACAGAGGUCCCGAGCGUUGUUCGGAUUCACUGGGCGUAAAGGGUGCGUAGGUGGCAUGGUAAGUUUGAUGUGAAAGCUCAGGGCUUAACCCUGAAAUGGCAUUGAAUACUGCCGUGCUGGAGGUUUGGAGGGGGGACUGGAAUUCUUGGUGUAGCAGUGAAAUGCGUAGAUAUCAAGAGGAACACCAGUGGCGAAGGCGAGUCCCUGGACAACACCUGACACUGAGGCACGAAAGCUAGGGGAGCAAACAGG